UUUUGUUUUGAAAUCUCGCUUCUCGGUUCUUAUAUUUUUUGUUUUGUGUUUCGAAACGCGGCCGUUUUGCUACAUCUCCAAAUCAUUUUUCUGGCCUUGGGCCAUGCUUUCGUAUAUGUGGCCCGUCUUGCGUUUAGGGUUACGUGUGCGUCUUCGAGAUUGCCGAUCUACGCCGUCCUCUUUCCAUCGUCUCCUCUCUGUAUACCCUUCCCUUCACAGCCAACGUUACGCUUAGCAAUAAUGUCAAGCAAUAAAAGUGUCCUUCAAUGGAGCUUUCAAUGUACGUACUGACUUCGCUUGACUAUUCAGUAUAAAUAUGUACCUCUUGAAAGCAUUUGAAGGAUGCAAGCUGUCUAGAAAAAGUGGUAGACAAACCAUUCGAUUUUGGGAAGCCUGGAAUGUGAAGAAAAGGGGCUAACUGAUGGGCGUUGAUAUGGUUCUUAUUGAUUCAAAGUUCCAGGUGCAAGAUUCCUUCUUUUGAAUCAGCCUUUCAUUUAUCAAUUGGCCUCACAAAACUAUCAUCCUCUAGAAGAAUUGAAGCCUGGCAAAAGAGUCCAGGAGACAAAACUCUCUCCUGCUGAAGUAGCUAGGACUGCGGUUGAGGUUUGUACCUGAGAAACAAUAUGAGACCACUACUGUCAGAGUUUUGUAUGAACUAGAAUAGUGUUUAGUUUUGCUAUGAGAUGCAUUAGCUGAAGAGGAAGGCGGCAGGUCUAAGAAGACCACAAAGACUAGGUGGUCUACACCAGGCGUGAAAAAGUUUUAUCAUUCUCACUGUUAUUUUGCAUCUGAGCUUUUUUAUGUUUUGAGUUUCAUGAAUAAGUACACGUUGAACAAUUUUCUGAACCAUAUUUUGGGUUGUGUUGGUUUAGCGAAUUUUAUAGGACUUUAGGAUAUAUCAGCAUUUGGACGAGUUCACGAGUUGAUUCUGCUUUUAUGAUUAUCUGCAUCAUUGCCCUUAGUUGUUCAGAGCUGUUUUCUCAGCUUCAAGUCGGCAUAUUAGCAGAAGAAAACAACUAGUUUGUAUUUUACUUAACAAGUAAUUUUUUAAAUGUUAUAUAAUGUUGCAUAAUUUUGGAGACCACCUGUUAAGCACGAAAAACAGUGUGGAAUCUGAAUAGGAAAGAACGAAAUUUAAUAGCAGCAAUGCAACAUGUGAUUUAUAACGAACAACAUUAAAAUAUCAACCUACAUCUAUGCCCCUUAAAGAAGUAAUAAGAACCUUGACUUCAUCAUCGCAAUUUUCGUCCUAACUCACCUUCCAUCUCUUCCACCUCUGAGAUGCUCAAGAGUCAUAAGCUGUUGGUACCACCAUCUAUUUAGUCUAGCUUUACGUUUACUAAUGUAAGAUGCAGCUGGUUCCCGGCCAAUUAAAAUGGUUCUGAUGCUUGAUCUUUGGGGGGAUAAUAUUAGAGUAUUUAAACUGCUUUAUGUCACCUGUUAAAAUACGCAUAGUAGCUGAACAAUAUAGUCACUGCUGAGGAAGAACAUCAACAGACAAACGGUUUCGAUCAGUGACUUACAAACAGCCCACCGUCCACACAACCCGCUCACAAUGACUCUUAACGUUCACACUAGCCAGUGAAUGCAGAAACUGUUACAACUGCAACUGAGUAGCAACCAGGGGCGAAGUCAGGCUAUUGUAUAUGGGGGCCUGUGCACCCAUAAUAUUUCUAUAUAACUUAUAUUUUGUUAAAGAAAACAUUGAAAAUCUGUUGGAUCAGGUGAGCUUAUGUUGAUUUUUAGUUUAUAUUUAGUUUAUUUGAUUUUAUAUAAAAAUAGAUAACUAUAUUUAUCUUCUAUAGUAUUUUGUUUAUAUGAUUAAAAUUUGGAUUUAAUAAAACAUGAUGAUAUUUUUCACUUCUCGAACUUAAAAAUAUAAUGUUCUUUAUGUUUUAUUUUAAGAAUUAUCAAAAAGAAAAAUAGUUAAAGUAAAACAAUUAAACACGGCCUAAUAACACUAUUAUUGAGUUUCCACAUCCAUCCAACACUUAUCACACUUGCUACAUAAGCUCACAAAACAUACGGAAACAACAAACGCUAAUACCCUUAAAAAGGAAAACGUAGCCUACACGCCUACCCCUUCUACCACUACUCUCCUUCCCGGCUUCUCUAAUACCAGAUUCACUCACACUAACUAUGGUUGACACAACCAACGUCACAACACACAAUCGAUUACACCAUGAGGCAAAAACUAGGUUACAAAUGAACCACCCCAAAUACUCGAUGUAUCCAGACUAUAUAUGAUAUAACACAAGAAAUAUACAAAUAACUUCACCACAAGUAAAAUAAGUCUAAAAAAAAAAAAGUAAAAAAAGUCACUUAGUUGAGCAGCUUACAUCUAAACUA